CCUGUGUAUCUACGCCAACCUCAGAGGAUCAGAGUCACUGCCUACAAGAAUGGCUCGACACUGACCUUUACUAAAGUCACUGCUUCUAACAUCGCAACGCUGCUGGAGGACUGUACAGUGAAACUGCGUCUGAACUCAGCGGCCAGGCGUAUCUUCCUGGCAGAUGGCGUGGAGGCCCACGCACCUGAAGACAUCCCUCAGGACGCCGACAUCUACGUCUCCACGGGGGAGGCAUUUGUGGACCCGCUGGCAGAGAUCAGAGCCCAUCUGUCUGUGUGCAGAGAGAGGAGCUGGACACUGGAAGGCCUGGUGCAGUCUGGGGACGACCAUGGGCGUGGGGGCACCAGGGCCAGCAUGCUCUCGCGCCGCGCCCUCGCACGCCUGUGCCAGGGGGUGCUGCCUGGUGCCCAGCGGGUGCUCAUCUUCAGGAAUGGCGCCGGGAGAGAUGGCUAUGAGGUCUCCACCACCAUGCAGAGUCUGGAGCAGUUCCUGGAUGUGUGCACUGAGAAGUUGCACCUCACUGCCUCAGCAAAAAUGGUCUUCAACUGGAACGGAAAAGCAGUAGAGGACCUUAACCUCGUCCCCCGGCUGGAUGGCUGUCUGCGGGGCUCCGGGGCCCCGUCACGCGGCCCUCUGUGGGCAUCCAGAGGAGAGGCGCUCAGCGUGGCAGGAGUCCAGACCUACGUGAGGGAGACGGUGAAGGCCCUCAGGCAGAGGCUCACAGCUGGCAGACAGCACCUGAAGCAGCUGGAGUGGGCUGAGGCAGGGAGGAUGGAGAAUGUCACAGCAAAGGAGAUCCUUAGUCUGACUGGGAGAGAGCGGGCGAAGGCCAAAGAGAAGGCGCAGGCUCAGAUUAAGGAGCUGGAAGAUUGUCUCCGAAAGCACCAGCAGCAGCUCUCCAUCCUGGGCCGAAUGGCGGAGGCGGACUCGUCCAGGCCGCCCGGCAGCACGUGGCCACUGUCUCAGGGCCCCUCGCUGCCCCAGGGCCUCCAGCUCAAGGUCCACCAGCCGGGCCGAGACUCAGGACACACACUGGUGUUUGUGAACCGCGUGGAGCUGGAGAAGGGCUGCGAGGCAGACGAGGAGCGCAUGAUGAACAGACUCCUGCAGAUAAUCCACCGCAGGCUGGGGGCUGGAGCCGUGGGCCUCUCCCCUGCCUGGGUGUACGAUGAGUGGGGCGAGGCUGUCCGCAGCCCCCUCCACCUCCAGAACGGCCAGAGGGUAUGGGUGUCCUAUGGGGAAGACCACAGGUUAGCCAUCUCUCUCUCUCACCCCUCUCUCUCUCUCUCUCUCUCUCUCUCUCUCUCUUUUUCUCCCCCCCUCUCUUUAUCCCUCCUUCUUAGAGCAACUGCCAUGCAUCAGUUUGUUUCCUCUCCUCCUGACAGUUGGGGUCCACACUGUUUCACCCUGUUUUUUUUGUGGAAGUGAAAAGAAUGGCUUAAAAACCGAUAGUUCAGACAGUUCUCUCUCUCUCUCUCUCUCUCUGUCUUGCCUAAGUGGCGGUGCCGUGAUUGUGGCGGAGGCUCCCUCUCUUCAUGUCUG
rnacentral:lncRNA from 1 species